ensembl:lncRNA
CUGGAAGAUAGGAGCCAUCUCUGCUGCUGUGUUUCUGGUGCUGGAGACCAUCGUCAUCCUAACACGUCCUCAAGUGUCGUGACAAAACUAACAGCAGCCCAGCCCCAGCCAGGCUGUGUGAGGAGGGGACACGUACAGCCCUGGGUAAUGAAGAGACUCUACCAGCCGGAGAUGGACAAUGCCAACAAAUUGCUGUUCUGGACCCGUGGGACCUGGACCCCUCUCUAACCCAACAGCAGCUGCAGCAGGAGGAGGAGGAGGCAGAAAUUACGGAUCUACAGCUCACCUCCAUAGAGGACCUGACCAACAGACCAGUAGAUCUGUCACAUGAUGUCCCGACUUCAGUUCUAUAGAUCUACACAGUCAGCUGACACUCCC